UCCCUGGAGGACUAGUGGUUAGGCCUCAGCAUGCUCACCUCUGUGGCCGGGGUUCAAUUCCUAACCAGGGAA